UACGUAGGGUGCGAGCGUUAAUCGGAAUUACUGGGCGUAAAGCGUGCGCAGGCGGUUCGUUGUGUCGGCGGUGAAAGCCCCGGGCUCAACCUGGGAAUGGCCGUUGAAACUGGCGAACUGGAGUGUGGCAGAGGGGGGUGGAAUUCCGCGUGUAGCAGUGAAAUGCGUAGAGAUGCGGAGGAACACCGAUGGCGAAGGCAGCCCCCUGGGCCGACACUGACGCUCAGGCACGAAAGCGUGGGGAGCAAACAGG
rnacentral:rRNA from 1 species